rnacentral:lncRNA from 1 species
CGAAUGUCACAUCUUUACUAUAUAAUUGGAGUUCUGUACAAAAUAGUUAAAUAAUUACAUCAUAGGAAGACAACGAUCCAGCAACCAAAGUUGACUGGGAGACGACGAUCUAGACCUCUCACGAACUUAUCGCGGCAUCCAUCAAGCUCCUCAUCUUGUGAUACCUGUCCUUUACCUGGGGGAUGUGAGUACAACAAGGUUGAGCUCACAUACGUUCAUUGCUCAACAAGUUGUGGGGAAUAAUGUGCAUGAGCUCACUUACAGUGGGGCUAAUGUAAAGUGUAAGGCUUACCAAAGGAGAUCAUUACAGCUCAGCAUUGCUUUUAAAGUUGGUCAAAAUUUUAUUAGCAGUUACUAAGUAUAAGUAUAUACCAACACAAUUAAGUAAGACAUCACAAUUAAUCAUAAAACCCGUAAUGCAAUGCAUAUGACAAAUUAAGUUUAGUUCCAUAGUUUACUCAUGUGAGUGUCCGAGCUGCUCUUGACCGUGAGCACGACUGAUAUACUAGUUUUACCCACAAGUCGUGUUACCCAUUUGCCAAGGGAUUGCGACUUCCCAUUCAUCUCUGCCGAGGAGACGAGGCAGGGUACCACUACGAGGCCUUUACAAAGUUCCACUAGCUUCAGAAAACCCACUACGGUUUCUGAGAAGGGUAAUAUAGGAAUCCCUUGUUCGAAAAGCCGUCGCAGCAUGAUCGACCUGAGAACCUACCUAUACAUAGCUACUCUACAGCCCUUGCCCCUUUCGGGUAAGGUAGUCCUCCACUAGCUUUCCUAAUUAGUCAGCCAAGGGCGUCCCAUACCACCCUUGUGGUAGCACUAUUUUCCCAGAUGGUUCUCCAUGUUCCAAUUAACAAAACGAUCUUAUCAUGAAUAAUAAUUAAAACAACAACAAAAUUGGAACAUGACCAUGAUAUGACAUUAAUUUUCCAAAACCAGGUAGAGCAAUAGCAAAUCUACCCAAUAGUUCUUUUGUUUGCAAGGAGUGGGAUAAACAAUACUAGGGAUACCUAUUAGGUCCCAUCAUAUUAACCUGAGCAUGUCACAGUGAUUAACAUGAACAUUUUUAGGUAGAGAAAAGUGAUCAAGGGCACAACUUGCUUUAUACUCGAGAUUCCAGGUACUUCACCAAGUAGGUCUUCGGGUAACUCGUAACCUCGCUGCUACUCGUAGCAAUACAUGCAAAUAGACAAAAAUUACAUAAAAAUAACAGUACACCAAACAUGAGAAAAACAGUGUAAGAUUAUUCUACGCGCUACUACGAGGUCGUAGGUUUGAGAAUCACUAAAAUCGGAGUCACGGUCAUAAAGAUACGAGUUUCAGAAGAUUUAUGCGAUUAAACAGGAAAACUAUGUUCUAUAUUAAUUAUUAUAAAUCAUGCAAAAAAGGAUAUUCUAAAUAAAAUAACUAACUUAAGCCUAAUCCAAGUGAUAACUUAAUUAGAAAUCAUAUGUUAGCCAACUUAUUAUUUUAAACAGUUUAACUUUGACUAGAAAGGUUAAUCUACUAACAUAGGUUAAACAAAAUACCUAUUUAUAAAAUUUAUGGGACUUGAUCAAACAAUACUGUCACUAUGUAGGUAACUUUAUUACGGAACUAACGCAACUUGAAUGGGUCAAAUCAAAGUUAGAAUAAAUUAUUUAUGGAUUUUCUAUGAUUUUUGGAAUUAUUUUUACGCUUAGAAAUCAAUUUUCUAGAUUUUAUUAUUGCUGUUAACUGAAAAAUGGGUGGUGGCAUUAAUUUCCCAAAGGUCAAGGACUGAUCUAUAAAUGUUUGGGCCAAACUGUAAUGAUCUUAUAAUGGCACGGGAUGGCGGGUUUAUUUGGUAAAACGACAUGGGUUCUUAUGCAUAAUUCCUUUGUCCAAGGGGUAUUGGUCAACCAGAUCCAUCAGAUUGACUAUCAAUGGCCUAGAUUAAAAUUUGGUUACGACAAUCUGGUAAGCCAUAUGGGCCCUUGGAUAUGAGAUCCACGCCCCAUAGACAACCACGCUUCAUUAAUUUUGAACCCUUGGUUCAAAGAUCAACGACUACGAUCUAAUGGGUCGAAGGGGUAUUCCUUCACUUAAUUUGGUUCGCUCAUUGUCCAAUCAACGACCAAAUGCUUCCCCUUCCUAGCCAAUGCACGGCGACGGAGCAGAGCUCCCAUCGCGGCGGUGCCAUGGCCGGGGAUCCGCCCUCUUCACGCACCAAGGCCCCCAUCCAUGAUCCGAUUGUCACAACACGAGAUAAAGAACAUUGCGAACGGGUGGGAGUAGAUUUUACCAAUGUUUGUGAAUCAUACAUGGCCGCCCACGAUGAUAUGCAGAGUCACGGCGGAAGGAUUGCUCCGGUGAGCAAUCACCGACGCCCGGUGCAAGCACUAGAUCCGUCUGUCCCUCGAACACCCGUCUCACACCCUCACGAACGUCCGGGACCUCGCCCUGGCCCCUAAAUAGCCCUGGAAUCACAGAACGACGGUGAGGCUGCUUCGCGGCGUCCACCAAUUCCCCACAGUGCUUCCCUAGGCACCGGUUCUGCACCAGACCUCCAUGGUAACAUCAGCGCGACACCAAGCAGUUCCCUGGCCCCAAACCGAGGCAACGUUGUUGCUAUCUCCGUGAAUCAACGGUGGCGGGCAUGGCUUCACGCACCUGAUUCCCCGGCGGUGGCAUGGGCGGCCUUCUGUUCACACACUCCCCGCCCGGCGCCGAAGCAGUCCUCGGCUGGAUGGGAUGGGGUGGCCGCGAGCUUGGCUAUAAAUACCCCGGAGUCCGAUCGGGGGAUCAACCCCAACAACCCCGAGGCGGCGGUAGCGGGUUCUGUUCGGGUGGGGACGAAGAGGG